ensembl:lncRNA
GAUUCAAAACACACUGAACUCAGAAGAAAGAUUAACAAAUUUCAGCAUAACUCAGGGCUGGGAGUAUUAGAGAAUACAGGGUGGAAUUUCAGCUGAAAACAAGGGAAGGAGAGAUCUUCUUUGAAUCAGGAGCUCAGAUGUAGGUUUACUAGUUUUUCAGGAGAGGUGCUCCAGUCCUCUGAGCAUCUACAUGUCCUCCAACAGCUGUACAUUUUUCAUGUGGGACAGACCCCAGACCUGGACAGAGAACACCAGAUGGGGCAUCAUGAUGGUAGAGCAAAGGGGGACAGUCACCUCUCCCUGCUGACCACCCCUCUGUUCGUGCAGCCCAGAAUACCGUUGGCCUUCCAGACUGCAAGCACACACAGCUGGCUCAUGUUCGCCUU